rnacentral:rRNA from 1 species
AGUUGGUGGAGUGAUUUGUCUGGUUAAUUCCGUUAACGAACGAGAUUUUAACUUCCUUAUUAACACAUGUUAAUUCCUGUGUUCUAAGGAGGAUUUCAUAUAUCCAAUAUGAUGAAAGAUAAAGCAAUAACAGGU